CCCUUAGAUGUUCUGGGCCGCACGCGCGCUACACUGAUGCACUCAACGAGUCUCACCUUGACCGAAAGGUCCGGGAAACCUUCGAACUUGCAUCGUGAUGGGGAUAGAUUAUUGCAACUAUUAAUCUUCAACGAGGAAUACCUAGUAGGCGCGUGUCAUCAGCGCGCGUCGAUUACGUCCCUGCCCUUUGUACACACCGCCCGUCGCACCUACCGAUUGAAUGGUCCGGUGAAAUCUUCGGAUCUGAGAGAUGUCUGAUUAAUUUCGGACGCCUUUUGGAAAAGUUGCUUAAACCUUACCAUUUAGAGGAAGGUGAAGUCGUAACA
rnacentral:rRNA from 1 species